GGAGAUUAUCCUCUUUCUGCUACCAUCAUGUCUGAGUACGCUAAUAAGAGAACGCGUGGAGCGUUUAUUGCUGCUGUUUUCGCUAUGCAAGGGGUUGGGAUCAUAUUUGCCGGCCUUGUUUCAAUGAUUGUAUCUAAAGUUUUCCUUAUGAAUUUUGGGGGUAAAGCGUUUUCUACUGAUGAAGUUUUCUCCACGGAGCCUGAGGCGGAUUAUGUCUGGCGGAUCGUCUUGAUGCUUGGAGCUCUUCCGGCUCUUCUUACCUAUUAUUGGCGAAUGAAGAUGCCUGAAACAGGGCGUUACACUGCCAUUAUUGAAGGAAAUGCUAAACAGGCGGCCAUUGAUAUGGGGAAGGUACUUGAUAUUGAAAUUCAAGCGGAAGGAGAAAAAUUAGCUAAAUUUAAAGCAGCUAAUGAGUACUCUUUACUCUCCAAUGAGUUCUUCAUGCGCCACGGACAUCACUUAAUUGGUACAAUGACUACUUGGUUCUUGUUGGACAUUGCUUUC
rnacentral:misc_RNA from 1 species